rnacentral:lncRNA from 10 species
AACUUUCCUAUGUAAAAUAGUCAUCAACCUUGUGAGCCUCUCUCACUUCAUUCUGCUUUUUGUCUCUUCCUUUUUUUCUAAUCUACACUUAACCAUCAGAUCUCAUACUUCUAUCUAGAUGUACAAAUUAUCUCACCUUCAAUUUAACACACACACACACACACACACACACACACACACAUACUUUGUUGUAGUUACUUCUAUUCAUUUCUAGCCUCUCCAUCUCAUAACUUUAUGACUACAGGACGAUUUGUUUUUUUGUUCACUAUUCUAUCAUCAGUGCCUAAAUCGAGUUCUUCUUAAUAUGAUAAAUGUUUAAUAAGUAUUGGUUGAAAGAAAGAAGAAAAUAUGAAAGGAGAGAAGAAAGGAAGGGGAAAAAGAAGAAAGGCAUUGCAAAAUCUGAAUCCCAAGGGGAAAGCGCGAAUGCAGUCCCCCACUACCAC